GACGAACGCUGGCGGCGUGCUUAACACAUGCAAGUCGAACGGAAAGGCCUGCUUUCCCUUGUGGAUUGCGGGUACUCGAGUGGCGAACGGGUGAGUAACACGUGAGUGAUCUGCCCCCAACUUGGGUAUAAGCCUGGGAAACUGGGUCUAAUUCCCGAUAGGACUGCAGGGUGGUGCCUGUGGUGGAAAACGAUUUUCUAGUGGUUGGGGAUGAGCUCGCGGCCUAUCAGCUUGUUGGUGGGGUAAUGGCCUACCAAGGCGGCGACGGGUAGCCGGCCUGAGAGGGUGGACGGCCACAUUGGGACUGAGAUACGGCCCAGACUCCUACGGGAGGCAGCAGUGGGGAAUAUUGCACAAUGGGCGGAAGCCUGAUGCAGCGACGCCGCGUGGGGGAUGACGGCCUUCGGGUUGUAAACUCCUUUCGACCGCGAGGAAGCCACCUGGUUGGAAGGGUGGUGACGGUAGCGGUAGAAGAAGCACCGGCUAACUACGUG
rnacentral:rRNA from 1 species